ensembl:miRNA mir34c microRNA 34c
UGCUGUGUGGUCACCAGGCAGUGCAGUUAGUUGAUUACAAUCCAUAAAGUAAUCACUAACCUCACUACCAGGUGAAGGCUAGUA